GACGAACUGUCCUAACGUUGUUCGGAAUCACUGGGCUUAAAGGGCGCGUAGGCGGUCCAACAAGUCGGGGGGUGAAAUCCUGCAGCUCAACUGCAGAAGUGCCUUCGAUACUGUUUGGUCUUGAGGGAAAUAGGGGUGUGCGGAACUUCCGGUGGAGCGGUGAAAUGCGUUGAUAUCGGAAGGAACGCCGGUGGCGAAAGCGGCGCACUGGAUUUCUUCUGACGCUGAGGCGCGAAAAGCUAGGGGGAGCAAACGGGG
rnacentral:rRNA from 1 species